rnacentral:rRNA from 1 species
UUUUCAAUAUAUUUUUUCUGCGCGCGGGGAACAUGGCGCACGUGCGCAUUAAAUAUUACACAUUGUUUCGAAAUUUUUGACGUUUCCGGUAAGUUUUAGCUUGUGGCUCAUUAAUCACGCGUCUAAGGACGGAUAAGUAGUGUUGGCAAAGGUAUCGCGUUCAGAAAGGGGUGUAAACCGUGGUGAAACUCGUGUUGGUGCGGUAGAAAGGGGGGGGUGGAAACGAUGGUAAACAUGUCUCCGUCGUUAAGCGACAGAGUAAGUAGUGCAGUGGAGUAUCCGUUAUUAGGCAGUGCUGACAAAGAAGGUAGGGUCGGGUUUAUAGUGGAGCUGGGAGGGGCGAGCAUAAGGGACGAAGUUGGGGAAACAUGUCGGAUCCGAUCAUACCAGCACUAAAGCACCGGCCGAUCAUACCAGCACUAAAGCACCGGAUCACACUAGGAUGGGUGACCUCCUGGGAAGUCCUCGUGUUGCAUUCCC